CCUACGGGAGGCAGCAGUGAGGAAUAUUGGUCAAUGGACGAGAGUCUGAACCAGCCAAGUAGCGUGCAGGAUGACUGCCCUAUGGGUUGUAAACUUCUUUUAUAUGGGAAUAAAACGUUCCACGUGUGGGUUUUUGUAUGUACCAUAUGAAUAAGGAUCGGCUAACUCCGUGCCAGCAGCCGCGGUAAUACGGAGGAUCCGAGCGUUAUCCGGAUUUAUUGGGUUUAAAGGGAGCGUAGGUGGAUCGUUAAGUCAGUUGUGAAAGGUUGCGGCUCAACCGUAAAAUUGCAGUGGGAACUGGCAGUCGUGAGUACAGUAGAGGUGGGCGGAAUUGGUGGUGUAGCGGUGAAAUGCUUAGAUAUCACGAAGAACUCCGAUUGCGAAGGCAGUUCACUGGACUGCAACUGACACUGAGGCUCGAAAGUGUGGGUAUCAAACAGGAUUAGAUACCCGGGUAGUC
rnacentral:rRNA from 1 species